rnacentral:rRNA from 1 species
GAUGAACGCUGGCGGCGUGCCUAAUACAUGCAAGUCGAGCGAACAGACGAGGAGCUUGCUCCUCUGACGUUAGCGGCGGACGGGUGAGUAACACGUGGAUAACCUACCUAUAAGACUGGGAUAACUUCGGGAAACCGGAGCUAAUACCGGAUAAUAUAUUGAACCGCAUGGUUCAAUAGUGAAGGACGGCUUUGCUGUCACUUAUAGAUGGAUCCGCGCCGCAUUAGCUAGUUGGUAAGGUAACGGCUUACCAAGGCAACGAUGCGUAGCCGACCUGAGAGGGUGAUCGGCCACACUGGAACUGAGACACGGUCCAGACUCCUACGGGAGGCAGCAGUAGGGAAUCUUCCGCAAUGGGCGAAAGCCUGACGGAGCAACGCCGCGUGAGUGAUGAAGGUCUUCGGAUCGUAAAACUCUGUUAUUAGGGAAGAACAAAUGUGUAAGUAACUAUGCACGUCUUGACGGUACCUAAUCAGAAAGCCACGGCUAACUACGUG